rnacentral:rRNA from 1 species
AUACGGAGGAUGCAAGCGUUAUCCGGAUUUAUUGGGUUUAAAGGGUGCGUAGGCGGUUUGCUAAGCGGGAGGUGAAAUGCCGGCGCUCAACGUCGGAAGUGCCUCCCGAACUGGUGGACUGGAAUGACUCUGCCGUGGGAGGAAUGUGUAGUGUAGCGGUGAAAUGCUUAGAGAUUACACAGAACACCGAUUGCGAAGGCAUCUCACGAAGGGUUGAUUGACGCUGAGGCACGAAAGCGUGGGGAUCAAACAGGAUUAGAUACCCUGGUAGUCCACGCAGUAAACGAUGAUGGCUAACCGCUGGUUUAUUCGGAUCAGUGGCCAAGCGAAAGCGAUAAGCCAUCCACCUGGGGAGUACGGCCGCAAGGUUGAAACUCAAAUGAAUUGGCGGGG